rnacentral:rRNA from 1 species
AUUGAACGCUGGCGGCAUGCCUUACACAUGCAAGUCGAACGGCAGCACGGACUUCUGUCUGGUGUCGAGUUGCGAACGGGUGUGUAAUGUAUCGGAACGUACCUUUCAGUUGUUGAUAACGUAUCUAAAGUUACGCUAAUACCUCAUAUUCUGUUAGCAGGAAAGCAGGGGUUCGAAAGACCUUGCGCUUAUUUAUCUGCCGAUAUCAGAUUAGCUAGUUGGUGGGGUAAAGGCCUACCAAGGCGACGAUCUGUAGCGGGUAUGAGAGGAUGAUCCGCCACACUGGAACUGAGACACGGUACAGAAGACUACGGGAGGCAGCAGUGGGGAAUGUUGGACAAUGGGGGAAAACAUGAUCAAGCAAUGCCGCGUGAGUGAAGAAGGACUUAGGGUUGUAAAGCUCUUUAGGCCGGGAAGAAAUCGAAUAGGAUAAUAACAUGUGUGGAUGACGGUAACGGAAGAAGAAGCAACGGCUAACUACGUG